UACUAUAUAUGAACUUAUGUUGAGAUGUUCUCAUGCAUUAGGGACUCACAGGAAGGGUAAAGGUCCUUGGGCCAGCUAAGCAUGGAAAGGAGGCUCUUUCGGCUUAUUUUGUUCAUUCUUCUCUUCGUUGCUUCUAAAGGGUUAGUAUUGAUGCACAAUGAUCAAGCAAAGCGUUGCUACUAUAUAAACCAUCACUUCAAAGGCAUAUGCAUCUUCACCAAUUCCUGCUCUGCAUUUUGUGUGCCAAGAGGUUUCGAAGGCGGCCUUUGCACACAUUUUGACUGUGUCUGCUUUCGAAAAUGCCCUCACCAACAUAGUCCUCCUCCUCGUCGGAUGUAAAUUAGUUUAUCCUUAUGAACUAGCAAUAUACCCGUGCAAUGGGCGUGAAAAGAUGGUGUUUGUUAAUACAAGUAAGCCCGAAAUUAUGCAUAAAUACUGUUGCGCUCCAUAUAUUUUAAUUUGGGGCGACUUUCU